rnacentral:rRNA from 1 species
GUAAUGGAGGUAGAGCACUGAAUGGGCUAGGGGGCAUAUCGCUUACCGAACCUUAUCAAACUCCGAAUGCCAUAUACAUUUAGUCCGGCAGUCAGACUACGAAUGAUAAGAUCCGUGGUCAAAAGGGAAACAGCCCAGAUCGUCAGCUAAGGUCCCAAAGUGUAAGUUAAGUGGAAAAGGAUGUGGGAUUUCUAAGACAACUAGGAUGUUGGCUUAGAAGCAGCCACUCAUUUAAAGAGUGCGUAAUAGCUCACUAGUCGAGAGAUCCUGCGCCGAAAAUGUCCGGGGCUAAAACUUACCACCGAAGCUACGGGCUUGCGUAAGCAAGCGGUAGGGGAGCGUCGUAAUCGGGCUGAAGUCGUACCGUAAGGAGCGGUGGACUGAUUACGAGUGAGAAUGUUGGCAUUAGUAGCGAGAUGUAGGUGAGAAUCCUACAGGCCGAAUAUCUAAGGUUUCCUCAGGAAGGCUCGUCCGCUGAGGGUUAGUCGGGACCUAAGCCGAGGCCGAAAGGCGUAGGCGAUGGACAACAGGUUGAUAUUCCUGUACCACUACCAUCGUUAUUAUCGAGGGUGUGACGGAGAAGGAUAGUGUGUGCUAGCGAUUGGAAAUGCUAGUCUAAGCGUUUAGGCAGUUACGGUAGGCAAAUCCGCUGUAACGUUAAUGCUGAGGCGUGAUGGGGAAGGCCCUUGAGGCUGAAGUACAUGAUUCCAUGCUUCCAAGAAAAGCAUCUAGAGAGAGAAGUAGUGCCCGUACCGCAAACCGACACAGGUAGAUGAGGAGAGAAUCCUAAGGCCGGCGGAAGAAUUGCAGUUAAGGAACUAGGCAAAUUGACCCCGUAAGUUAGCGAGAAGGGGUGCCUGCGAGAGCAGGCCGCAGAGAAUAGGCCCAAGCAACUGUUUAGCAAAAACACAGGUCUCUGCUAAAGCGCAAGCUGAUGUAUAGGGGCUGACGCCUGCCCGGUGCUGGAAGGUUAAGGGGAACACUUAGCGCAAGCGAAGGUGUGAACUUAAGCCCCAGUAAACGGCGGCCGUAACUAUAACGGUCCUAAGGUAGCGAAAUUCCUUGUCAGGUAAGUUCUGACCCGCACGAAUGGCGUAAUGACUUGGGCACUGUCUCAACUGCAAAUCCGGCGAAGUUGUAGUGCGAGUGAAGAUGCUCGCUACCCGCGAUUGGACGGAAAGACCCCGUAGAGCUUUACUGUAGCUUAGCAUUGAAUUCCGGUAUUGUCUGUACAGGAUAGGUGGGAGACUGGGAAACUAGGGCGUCAGCCUUAGUGGAGUCGUCCUUGGGAUACCACCCUGACAGUACUGGGGUUCUAACAGGACGCCAUGAAUCUGGUGACUGGACAUUGUUAGGUGGGCAGUUUGACUGGGGCGGUCGCCUCCUAAAAAGUAACGGAGGCGCCCAAAGGUUCCCUCAGAACGGUCGGAAAUCGUUCGUAGAGUGCAAAGGCAGAAGGGAGCCUGACUGCGAGACCUACAAGUCGAGCAGGGACGAAAGUCGGGCUUAGUGAUCCGGUGGUACCUCGUGGGAGGGCCAUCGCUCAACGGAUAAAAGCUACCUCGGGGAUAACAGGCUGAUCUCCCCCAAGAGUCCACAUCGACGGGGAGGUUUGGCAC